CGGCGCACAUAAGACAUGCAAGUCGAACGGACUUAACCUUUAGUUUACUAUUGGAGCGGUUAGUGGCGGACUGGUGAGUAACACGUAAGCAACCUGCCUAUCAGAGGGGAACAACAGUUAGAAAUGACUGCUAAUACCGCAUAUGCCUUAGAAUCACAUGGUUCAAAAGGGAAAGGAGCAAUCCGCUGAUAGAUGGACCCGCGUCUGAUUAGCCAGUUGGCAGGGUAACGGCCUACCAAAGCGACGAUCAGUAGCCGACCUGAGAGGGUGACCGGCCACAUUGGGACUGAGACACGGCCCAGACUCCUACGGGAGGCAGCAGUGGGGAAUUUUGGACAAUGGGGGCAACCCUGAUCCAGCCAUGCCGCGUGCAGGAUGAAGGCCUUCGGGUUGUAAACUGCUUUUGUCAGGGACGAAAAGGAUCGUGAUAAUACCAUGGUCUGCUGACGGUACCUGAAGAAUAAGCACCGGCUAACUACGUG
rnacentral:rRNA from 1 species